rnacentral:rRNA from 1 species
CUAUCUGCAGUCGAGCGACAGAAGGGAGCUUGCUCCCGGAUGUUAGCGGCGGACGGGUGAGUAACACGUGGGUAACCUACCUGUAAGACUGGGAUAACUCCGGGAAACCGGAGCUAAUACCGGAUAGUUCCUUGAACCGCAUGGUUCAAGGAUGAAAGACGGUUUCGGCUGUCACUUACAGAUGGACCCGCGGCGCAUUAGCUAGUUGGUGAGGUAACGGCUCACCAAGGCGACGAUGCGUAGCCGACCUGAGAGGGUGAUCGGCCACACUGGGACUGAGACACGGCCCAGACUCCUACGGGAGGCAGCAGUAGGGAAUCUUCCGCAAUGGACGAAAGUCUGACGGAGCAACGCCGCGUGAGUGAUGAAGGUUUUCGGAUCGUAAAGCUCUGUUGUUAGGGAAGAACAAGUGCAAGAGUAACUGCUUGCACCUUGACGGUACCUAACCAGAAAGCCACGGCUAACUACGUGCCAGCAGCCGCGGUAAUACGUAGGUGGCAAGCGUUGUCCGGAAUUAUUGGGCGUAAAGGGCUCGCAGGCGGUUUCUUAAGUCUGAUGUGAAAGCCCCCGGCUCAACCGGGGAGGGUCAUUGGAAACUGGGAAACUUGAGUGCAGAAGAGGAGAGUGGAAUUCCACGUGUAGCGGUGAAAUGCGUAGAGAUGUGGAGGAACACCAGUGGCGAAGGCGACUCUCUGGUCUGUAACUGACGCUGAGGAGCGAAAGCGUGGGGAGCGAACAGGAUUAGAUACCCUGGUAGUCCACGCCGUAAACGAUGAGUGCUAAGUGUUAGGGGGUUUCCGCCCCUUAGUGCUGCAGCUAACGCAUUAAGCACUCCGCCUGGGGAGUACGGU